AAGGUGCACAUUUUCCCUUUCCACUGAAGACUAAAUACUGCAUUUCCUUGGCUGGAGCUAAAACACCAGAGAUGAAACACCAAAGAUGUCUCGCCAGACCACAACAGAGCACAGCAGAGCAGGCAGAUUGCUGGUGUGGUUGUUAAUAAUUAAAUGGUUAGAACCUCCAGUGCAAUGCUGAAUAAAAUGAUCACUAGCAGACACCCCAGCCUGUUUCCUCACAUUACGAGGAAAGCACUUGGUCUUUCAUCAGUGAGAGAGCCUAAAAGAAGUGACACUCAAGUAGUAAUCAGCACACCUGACAUUCAGAUCUUGGUUUCUAACAGCAUUCUCCGAUAAAAGAAACCAAGGUUCCUUGGAGAAAUGGCUGAUUCUAGGACUGGGACAGGAAAUAUACAGGGUGAAAGGAUUUAACAUUCAGAAGCAAGAUCUGAGGUAUGACAAAGUAUUAAAAUGUUUCCAGGACUUCCGCCAAGAUGGAGACGUAGAUGGAGGAUCCACUUUGCCUCUGUGCACAACCAAAUCUAAGAACAACUAUUUUUAACAGCAGUCACAACCAAGCCACACGGAAAAUCGACAAUACAGAGUCCAAAGGACAACUGCUGGACCGGUACGAGGAGCGAGGCCAGCA